GACGAACGCUGGCGGCGUGCUUAACACAUGCAAGUCGAGCGGUAAGGCCCUUUCGGGGGUACACGAGCGGCGAACGGGUGAGUAACACGUGGGUGACCUGCCCUCAGCUCUGGGGUAAGCCUGGGAAACCGGGUCUAAUACUGGAUAUGACUCCAUGACGCAUGUUGUGGGGUGGAAAGCCUUGUGCGGCUGAGGAUGGGCCCGCGGCCUAUCAGCUUGUUGGUGGGGGAGUGGCC
rnacentral:rRNA from 1 species